rnacentral:rRNA from 1 species
AUUGAACGCUGGCGGCAUGCCUUACACAUGCAAGUCGAACGGCAGCACGGGUGCUUGCACCUGGUGGCGAGUGGCGAACGGGUGAGUAAUAUAUCGGAACGUACCUUAUCGUGGGGGAUAACGCAGCGAAAGCUGUGCUAAUACCGCAUAAGCCCUAAGGGGGAAAGCAGGGGACCGUAAGGCCUCGCGCAAUUAGAGCGGCCGAUACCUGAUUAGCUAGUUGGUGAGGUAAAGGCUCACCAAGGCAACGAUCAGUAGCUGGUCUGAGAGGACGAUCAGCCACACUGGGACUGAGACACGGCCCAGACUCCUACGGGAGGCAGCAGUGGGGAAUUUUGGACAAUGGGGGCAACCCUGAUCCAGCAAUGCCGCGUGAGUGAAGAAGGCCUUCGGGUUGUAAAGCUCUUUUGUCAGGGAAGAAACAGCAGCUCUAACACAGUAUGCGAAUGACGGUACCUGAAGAAUAAGCACCGGCUAACUACGUGCCAGCAGCCGCAGUAA